GGAAUAUUGCGCAAUGGGGGCAACCCUGACGCAGCAACGCCGCGUGAGUGAGGAAGGUUUUCGGACCGUAAAGCUCUGUCGAGCGGGAAGAAAUGUAUCGUGGCUAAUAUCCAUGAUAUUUGACGGUACCGCUAAAGGAAGCACCGGCUAACUCCGUGCCAGCAGCCGCGGUAAUACGGGGGGUGCAAGCGUUGUUCGGAAUUAUUGGGCGUAAAGAGCGUGUAGGCGGCUGAAUAAGUCAGAUGUGAAAUCCCUGGGCUUAACCCAGGAAGUGCAUUUGAAACUAUUCAGCUUGAGUAGGGGAGAGGAAAGUGGAAUUCCUGGUGUAGAGGUGAAAUUCGUAGAUAUCAGGAGGAACACCGGUGGCGAAGGCGACUUUCUGGCCCUAUACUGACGCUGAGACGCGAGAGCGUGGGUAGCAAACAGGAUUAGA
rnacentral:rRNA from 1 species